rnacentral:rRNA from 1 species
AUCUACAGCCAUAUCACUCUGAACAUGCCUGAUCUUGUCUGAUCUCAGAAGCUUAGCAGGGUCUCGCCUGGUUAGUACUUAAAUAGGAGAAUUUCACACACUGUGGUUU